GGUUCCAUGGUGUCGUGGUGAGCACUCUGGACUCUGAAUCCAGCGAUCCGAGUUCGAGUCUCGGUGGGACCU